UACGAAGGGGGCUAGCGUUGCUCGGAAUCACUGGGCGUAAGCGCACGUAGGCGGCUUUUUAAGUCAGGGGUGAAAUCCUGGAGCUCAACUCCAGAACUGCCUUUGAUACUGAGAAGCUUGAGUCCGGGAGAGGUGAGUGGAACUGCGAGUGUAGAGGUGAAAUUCGUAGAUAUUCGCAAGAACACCAGUGGCGAAGGCGGCGAUCUGGGUCGAUACUGACGCUGAGGUGCGAAAAGCGUGGGGAGCAAACAGGG
rnacentral:rRNA from 1 species